UGACAAUACGAAGACAACCAGGAUGUUGGCUUAGAAGCAGCCACACAUUCAAAGAGUGCGUAAUAGCUCACUGGUCGAGCGAUGUUGCGCCGAAGAUAACCGGGGCUAAAACCUGACACCGAAGCUUGGGAAUCACAGCAAUGUGAUUGGUAGAGGAGCAAUCCUGACGCGCAGAAGCCAUAGCGGAAGCGGUGGUGGAGUGUGAGGAAGAGAGAAUGCCGGCAUAAGUAGCGAAAGAGGAGCGAGAAACUCCUCCGUCGAAAGCCUAAGGUUUCCUGGGGAAGGUUCGUCCGCCCAGGGUAAGUCGGGACCUAAGUCGAGGCCGAAAGGCGUAGAUGAUGGACAAACGGUGGAUAUUCCGUUACCGUCGUACAGACCGAAGCAGGGACACAGAAGGAUAGUCAGACCACGGGGAUGGAAAGCCGUGGGCAAGCACCGAGGCCGAUCGGCAGUGAAGUACACCGAUCAUAAGGCUGGGGUGUGAUGCGGAGUGGACAAGAGAAACGAAGCUGACGAAUUCACGCUGGCGAGAAAAGCUGCUAAGGAUAUGUGUAAGGCGCCCGUACCGCAAACCGACACAGGUAGGCGGCAAGAAAAUUGCAAGACGAGCGGGAUAACCUUUGUUAAGGAACUCGGCAAAAUGACCCCGUAACCUCGGGAUAAGGGGAGCCUGGUGACAGGCCACAGAAAAGAGGCCCAAGCGACUGUUUACCUAAAACACAGGUCUCUGCGAAAGCGAAAGCUGAAGUAUAGGGGCUGACGCCUGCCCGGUGCCGGAAGGUCAAGGGGAUUUGUUAGGAGCGAUCCGAAGCAUUGAACUUAAGCCCCGGUGAACGGCGGCCGUAACUAUAACGGUCCUAAGGUAGCGAAAUUCCUUGUCAGGUAAGUUCUGACCCGCAUGAAUGGCGUAACGAUUUGGGCGCUGUCUCAACAAGGGACCCGGCGAAAUUGUAGUAUAUGUGAAGAUGCAUAUUACCCGCGACUGGACGGAAAGACCCCGUAGAGCUUUACUGCAGUUUGGCAUUGAGUUUCGGUAAUGGAUGCACAGGAUAGGUGGGACGCUAUGAGCCCCGGGUUUCGGCUCGGGAGGAGCGGCCGUUGGGAUACCACCCUUCUGUUACUGAAAUUCUCAACGGAUCGCGGUUAUCCCGGAUCCGGACAUUGUCAGGCGGGCAGUUUGACUGGGGCGGUCGCCUCCUAAAGAGUAACGGAGGCGCUCAAAGGUUCUCUCAGAAUGGUUGGAAACCAUUUGCAGAGCGUAAAGGUAUAAGAGAGCUUAACUGCGAGACAAACGAGUCAAGCAGAUACGAAAGUAGGACUUAGUGAUCCGGCGGUAGAGAAUGGAAUUGCCGUCGCUUAACGGAUAAAAGUUACCUCGGGGAUAACAGGCUGAUCUCCCCCAAGAGUUCAUAUCGACGGGGAGGUUUGGCACCUCGAUGUCGGCUCGUCUCAUCCUGGGGCUGAAGUAGGUCCCAAGGGUUGGGCUGUUCG
rnacentral:rRNA from 1 species